rnacentral:ncRNA from 1 species
GAUAACAGCGCAAUAUAUAAUGAAAGCCCUUAUUAAAUUAUAUAUUUACGACCUCGAUGUCGGCUUAAUAAAGCUUUUUAAAGUAGAAUUUAAAAAUAGUUUAACUGUUCUUUAAUUAAAGUAUUACAUGAGCUGGGUUUAGAACGGAGCGAUUUAGUUC